AUUGAACGCUGGCGGCAGGCUUAACACAUGCAAGUCGAGCGAGAGGCGGACGGGUGAGUAAUGUCUGGGAACCUGACUGAUGGAGGGGGAUAACUACUGGAAACGGUGGCUAAAACCGCAUACCAUCAGAUGUGCCCAGAUGGGAUUAGCUAGUAGGUGGGGUAAUGGAUCACCUAGGCGACGAUCCCUAGCUGGUCUGAGAGGAUGACCAGCCACACUGGAACUGAGACACGGUCCAGACUCCUACGGGAGGCAGCAGUGGGGAAUCUUGCACAAUGGGCGAAAGCCUGAUGCAGCCAUGCCGCGUGUAUGAAGAAGGCCUUCGGGUUGUAAAGUACUGUCAGCGGGGAGGCGUUACCCGAAGAAGAAGCACCGGCUAACUCCGUGCCAGCAGCCGCGGUAAUUC
rnacentral:rRNA from 1 species